AGGGGACUAACACGGUUAGGGAGCCGCCUUCCACGGUCAGGCAGCCUUACCUUCCGGCGAAGGAAGGAAAAGCUGUAAGUGGUAGAUGAGCAGUGCCGACAAUUUAUAAGAUACAGGUAAGUAGAAGAAGAAAAAGAAUCGCUACCGAAGAGAAGCACUUGGGACUGUGGCAUGGGGCCGCCCCUUUGGAAAACAGCCCGGCAGAGCCUCAAACAGCGAGACCUGGAGUGACCAGGCACCCGGCACGUCCACCCCGCGGCCCCCUGGGCUCACCCCUUCCUGGUCUGGACCCCAGGCGCUGGCACGUUCAAUCCCUGCUCAGCGGCCACUCUGUCGGUACCGUUCCAAUCAGCAGUGAGUCAUCCCACCGGGACGAGGACACAGGGUGGGUGCUCACGGCUUCAGGACCUGUCGCUGUCCACUGGAAAGUCAUUCCUCCCCAGAUCAGGUAGCGCCUGACCAGCACCUCGGCACCUUCCCUGGGCUGGGAGGCGCCCACGUCCUCAGCUCUGCAGGCUUUCCUUCAGGUCCGGGGCUGCUGGUCCAGCCGCCAAUGCCAAGAGCGAGUUUCCUCGUUAGACACAGCGAGUGAGCUGGGGUGUGUGUGUGUGUGUGUGUGUGGAACGGGCAGAGUGUGGGUACCAGGAUAAAAUCUGACCUCCGUGCUCUUGGCUCAGCAGGUUCUGUCCCGCGUCCCCUCGCUGACGGACCCCAGGGCCGGGUGACAUGCCCGCCCACCGCAGACUCAGCAGACGGGCUGAAUGGAGGAAGGUCAUUCCCAUGGCGCGUCCCCGAGACCCGACUCCUGGUGGAGACCCUGCCAGCAGCACGGCCCCCAGACCGUGGCGAGCAGGAACCAGGCGUCCAGAGCCGAUGCGAAAGGCCAGCAAGUUCUCAGCACCAUGGAAGGCCCAGACUUGCCUGGGAGCGGCCCCCAGGACGGGGCAGAAAGGAGAGAGCUGACAGCACGACCUUGGAGCCCAGGGCUGCGGACAGGGGGUACGCAGGGUGGGCCUUCUCUUGCUCAGCUGGCCUGCUCCCCUGCCCACAUUUCUCAGCUCUGCUCCCUCGGAUGCCCCCGCGCUGUCAUCCUCAGUGACCGUGGCUCCAGCAUCUGGAAGCAGCCCCUCCAUGCUGGUUCUGCUCAGGCCGUGCCCUCUGCCCAGAAUUCCCUUCUCUAGCUCCCUGCUCUUCUUUCUUGAGCCUCUGCAUGGACCUCACCAUCCCUCUGUCCCCAAAUUCUGUCCCUGACUUUCCCCUCGGGGGUCCACCCUGGAUUGUAAGGACCUGCCCCCCUUUUCCGCUGUGUGCGGUCCGUUUGAAGUUGGAGCACUUCCUAUUGUUACGAGAUGGCUGUGGUGGCUCCAAGCGUCACCUCCUCUCCUGACAGUGUCCCUAGAAGACCGGGAGGAAAGAGGCUUCCCUUUGAAUGUCUGUCCCUCGCAGAGGGCUGCAGACAUUCCCUAGAAGCAGCCUUCCUGUGUCUCAUUGUCAUAAGCGGGUCAAGCGGCUGCCCUGGACAGGGACAGGGCGGGCAGAGGAGGGAAGGAUGGAGGAGAAAGUGGAGGGCAGGGAGGCGGUGACGGGGGGCGGACGGGCGCGCGGCCGGAUGGGCUAUUUUGCCUGGGUCUCCCGUCAGGCCUGCUUCGUCGGGAUGAGAUGGUAAACUUUAUGGGGAUUGUGACCAGGACGCCGGCAGGCAGGAGGCCUGGAUGCCCGCUCUGGUCUGGACUUGAGGAGACACUGCCGGAAAGGCCGCGGGUCCGCCCAGGCCGUCGGCCUCUCCACUUCCCGGGCCUUCCCGCCGGAACCCUCACGCUCCAGCUCAGACCUGCCCCCCGGCACGCGGGCAGAUCCACUCCACAGCGGGGGCUGUCAAGGCGAGGUCCCCUCUCCCAGGCUCUCUGGUGGUUGGGGGGGGUCUUCUGACCCAGUUCCCUCCAGGAAGACACAAGGGAAACUCUGCUUCCGGCUCAGUGCAAAAAGGACCCCUUGGCCCAUAAUCUGCUUUGGACGCGGCCGUGAGACAGGACGUGAUGCCUGCGUCUCGGGCGCCGUCCUGUAGCCUGAGGACGAAAUGCCAACAGGCUGAGGACGGACACGCCUGGGCCUUGAUAACAUCAUUCAGCCACAAGCCUGGAACUCACUGUGUGCUUCCCCAGACGGAGGUAAUUACCCAGCUUGUGUGUAUGGAGCUGAGACAUCACCCCGAGCCUCCUUUGGGAGUGGCUGCAACGCUGGGAUCGGAGCCGUCACAGAGACUCAGAAAUCAGGAUGGCGGGGAAGGGGGGUGCGUUUUGUGAAGACGGGCUUGUGAGAAAUGCCAACUUUCUAUUGCUUAUGUCAGGUUGGACGUGUGCCCAGCCCUCCCAAACUGCACAGGACCGAAAUCAAGGGUCCCCUCCAGGAGGCGUCGCAGUUGGCGGUGGAGGGAGACUCCAGCGGCGAAGCCUACGUCAAAGACUCGGGAAGCGCAGGAGGCGUGGACCGAGUCCUUUACCCGCGUCCUGUUCGGGGUAACUCAUCUGAAAGCCCACUCUUCCCUGAAUAUCUGCUCUCUGAGGACGGGUGGUGUCUCCAUGACACCAUCCACUUAAGAAGAUGUUGUUGAGCCCAGAUGAAGGCCGAGAUCUGGUCCCAGGAAACGGAGGCCCAACAGCAAGGAAACGCACCCGGACCCUGUCCUCCAGCGGCCUCCACCUGGGCGUAGAGCUGGACAGGCCCGCUGGCCGCUGAACUUGAAUGCGACCAGGAAACCCGCAUCUUUAGAGAAAGCUGGCAGAUCCCACGGUGGCCGUGAGAUCCAGUUAACGUCCCCAGUGAUGAGACACGUGGGUCUUACCGCCACUCUGGGGGGGGGUGAGCCUUGCUUCUGGGGAUCGCCUGGCAAGCGUGCAGCAGGUCAGCGGAUCAGGAGCAAACUUCAGAGGGGCCCACACAGGAGAGCGGUCAACGGAAUACCUGACCUGUGCACGCUUCUGAACGUGCUGUGGUCAUAGGCGCCUGGGAAAGACUGAGGAACUGUCCUCAGCUGGAGGGCACCAGCAGCCGUGACAACCAAAGGCAACACGGGGCCCUGGGCUGGAUCUCGAGAAGAGAAAGGACAUCAGCAGGAAAAGAUGCAAUCUGCAUAGCGUCUGUCCUACCCGGGUUAGUGUCUUGGUUUUGCUGGUGUGGCUGCAGGUGUGUCAGAUGUGGGCACUACGGGAUGUUAGGUACAGACGAGUGAAAACUUUCCUUGUGAUUUUUGAGGCUUUUCUGUAAGUCUAAAAUUAUUUCACAAUAAAAGGUUUUAAUAAUACAAUGUGAUUAAUCCUCUGAUAAAAGAAUUGUAGGUUGGAGUUCCCAUCGUGGCAUAGUGGUUAACGAAUCCGACUAAGAACCAUGAGGUUGCCGGUUCAAACCUGGCCCUUGCUCAGUUGGUUAAGGAUCCGGCAUUGCCAUGAGCUGUGGUGUGGGUCGCAGACGUGGCUUGGAUCCUGCGUUGCUGUGGCUCUGGUGUAGGCCGGUGGCUACAGCUCUGAUUAGACCCCUAGCCUGGGAACCUCCAUAUGCUGUGGGAGUGGCUCAAGCAAAGACAAAAAGACAAAAAAAAAAAAAGAAUUGUAGGUGCUUUGGGGCCACAUACCCUCCCCGCCCCCCGCCUACCUGCCACCUCAUUCACUCCUCCAUCCAGUCACUCAGCUUAGUUUUACUGAGCACCUGCCACCUGCUGGGCAUGGUGCCACAAGCUGGGGAGAGCGAGGUAAGCAGGACCCCGUGAAAAACACUCAGCUCACCGUCCUGUCUUUUCCACCUGCCCCCACACAGGCCGUGCUCCAGACCAAGGAGUAAGCACGGGCUGCAAAUCCCUGUC
rnacentral:lncRNA from 9 species